CAUCACAGAAACCAACUAGAGCCCCCAGCGCUGGCAGACGCCUGAGUGACACUGCCAUGGGCCCCCGGCUCCUGGGCUGGGUCCUGCUUUGGCUCCUGGGAGCAGGCCCCGUGGAAGCCGACGUGACCCAGAGCCCGACACACCGCAUCACAGAGACCAGGAAGAAGCUGACAGUGACUUGUUCUCAGAAUAUGAACCACGAGGCUAUGUACUGGUAUCGACAAGACCCAGGGCUGGGUCUCAGGCUGAUCUACUUCUCACGGAAUGUUAAUUUUACUGAAAAGGGAGAUAUCCCUGAUGGGUACACUGUUUCUCGGAAAGAGAAGAAGGAUUUCUCCCUGACCCUGGAGUCGGCCAGCAUCACCCAGACCUCCUUGUACCUCUGCGCCAGCAGCGUAUCCACAGCGCGGCGCAGCCAGCUGCUGUCUGCACAAGAAGGGCAGCCACAAGGUUACACAGCUGCCUUCCGCUCUACAACCCUCCUUGGGACCUGA